rnacentral:rRNA from 1 species
GAUGAACGCUAGCGGCAGGCUUAACACAUGCAAGUCGAGGGGUAUAGUUCUUCGGAACUAGAGACCGGCGCACGGGUGCGUAACGCGUAUGCAAUCUACCUUUUGCAGAGGGAUAGCCCAGAGAAAUUUGGAUUAAUACCUCAUAGUAUGUGAGAAUGGCAUCAUUUUCACAUUAAAGUCACAACGGCAAAAGAUGAGCAUGCGUCCCAUUAGCUUGUUGGUAAGGUAACGGCUUACCAAGGCAACGAUGGGUAGGGGUCCUGAGAGGGAGAUCCCCCACACUGGUACUGAGACACGGACCAGACUCCUACGGGAGGCAGCAGUGAGGAAUAUUGGACAAUGGGCGCAAGCCUGAUCCAGCCAUGCCGCGUGCAGGAUGACGGUCCUAUGGAUUGUAAACUGCUUUGUACAGGAAGAAACACUGGUUCGUGAACCAGCUUGACGGUACUGUAAGAAUAAAGGAUACGGCUAACUCCGUGCCAGCA